UCCCCGGAGGCAGCAGCAGCAGCUUCCUUGGGAUAUACUUUCUCCCAGCUGUCAGUGACAGAAAGAUCUGUUCCUUGAAGAUCAUUAAGCAAGUCAAUGCAGUCUACUUUGCAAUCACAGCCAGGACAAAGCCAGCCUUCAUCAUCAGGUGGAAUGUCUUCUUUUAACAGAGGUGGCUCCACACACAACUGGUGAAAUCCACG
rnacentral:misc_RNA from 1 species